rnacentral:rRNA from 1 species
UACGUAGGGUGCGAGCGUUAAUCGGAAUUACUGGGCGUAAAGCGUGCGCAGGCGGUUCGUUGUGUCGGCGGUGAAAGCCCCGGGCUUAACCUGGGAAUGGCCGUCGAAACUGGCGAACUGGAGUGUGGCAGGAGGGGGGUGGAAUUCCGCGUGUAGCAGUGAAAUGCGUAGAGAUGCGGAGGAACACCGAUGGCGAAGGCAGCCCCCUGGGCUGACACUGACGCUCAGGCACGAAAGCGUGGGGAGCAAACAGG